rnacentral:lncRNA from 1 species
CAAAUGUUUAUAAUUUUGAUGAAGUCUAAAGUAUGUGUUUUUUUAUUUAGUAGUUUGCAGUACAGGUAUCAUAUCUAAAAAAACAAACCCAUGGGUUGGGGAGUGGGAAAGGAAGAUGGUGAAACAGAGGAAAGAAGCACUUCACAGCAACUCCCUCACAAAGUGAGAAGACAGCUUCUCAGCAAGGGAUAG